rnacentral:lncRNA from 1 species
UCUUUUCUUUCCCUUAAUUCGUUUUUUCACGAGCCAUCCAACAUAUCAGUGAUCUUCGUCCCGUAUAAUCAAUGGUGCUAAAGAAUGGUCGAGAAUUUUCAUUUAUGGCCGUAGAAGUUAAGUUAUUUUGACAGAUUUGUUUCAUUUUUUCUCUCCUUUUCGUUUCCUUUUCUUCUCGAUUUUUUGAUUUUUUUUCCCCUUUUCAUCCUCAUUAUUAUUCUAUUUCUACAUACUGAUGGGCUCUUUGUAUUUCCUUUUUGGUUAGUAAAAAUCUUCUAAUUUAAUUAUUUGAUUCAAUGUUGCUUUCAGAUAUGCCUACUAGGUGCUUGAUGAAAUUUACAAAUGGCACAAGUUCAUUUUCUUGACAAAGUUUGACAGGUGAGGAAUAUGGUACUCCGAU